CCUACGGUGGGCAGCAGUGAGGAAUAUUGGUCAAUGGACGAGAGUCUGAACCAGCCAAGCCGCGUGAAGGAUGACUGCCCUAUGGGUCGCAAACCUCUUUUACAAAGGAACAAAACGAGGGACGUGUCCGUUUCUGCAUGUACCCUAUGAAUAAGGAUCGGCUAACUCCGUGCCAGCAGCCGCGGUAAUACGGAGGAUGCGAGCGUUAUCCGGAUUUAUUGGGUUUAAAGGGUGCGAAGGUGGGUAGUUAAGGCGGUUGUGAAAAUUUGGGGCUCAACCGUAGAAGUGCAGUUGAUACUGGGAGUCUUGAGUGCAGGUGAGGUAGGCGGAAUGCGUGGUGUAGCGGUGAAAUGCAUAGAUAUCGCGAAGAACCCCGAUUGCGAAGGCAGCUUGCUGGGCUGUGACUGACGCUGAGGCUCGAAAGUGUGGGGAUCGAACAGGAUUAGAUACCCCAGUAGUC
rnacentral:rRNA from 1 species